rnacentral:rRNA from 1 species
GGAAUCUUGGGAAUGGGCGAAAGCCUGACCCAGCAACGCCGCGUGGGCGAUGAAGGCCUUCGGGUCGUAAAGCCCUUUUGUGGGGGAAGAUGAUGACGGUACCCCACGAAUAAGCCACGGCUAACUACGUGCCAGCAGCCGCGGUAAGACGUAGGUGGCCAGCGUUGUCCGGAUUUACUGGGCGUAAAGGGCGUGCAGGCGGUUCGUUAAGUUCGAGGUGAAAGCUCCCGGCUCAACUGGGAGAGGUCCCCGGAUACUGGCGGACUUGAGGGAGGCAGAGGAAAGUGGAAUUCCCGGUGUAGUGGUGAUAUGCGUAGAUAUCGGGAGGAACACCAGUGGCGAAGGCGGCUUUCUGGGCCUUACCUGACGCUGAGACGCGAAAGCGUGGGGAGCGAACCGGAUUAGAUACCCUAAAAGCUGGGGGAGC